GCCUAACACAUGCAAGUCGAGCGCUGAUUACGAGGUAGCAAUAUUUCGUAGUUGGAGCGGCGCAAGGGUGCGUAACACGUGGGUAAUCUGCCAUGAAGUUUGGGAUAACUCGCUGAAAGGCGAGCUAAUACCGGAUGUGACGAUCGGAAGGCAUCUUCUGAUCUUCAAAGCUGGGGACCGUAAGGCCUGGCGCUUCAUGAUGAGCCCGCGGCCUAUCAGCUAGUUGGUGAGGUAACGGCUCACCAAGGCUAAGACGGGUAGCUGGUCUGAGAGGACGACCAGCCACACUGGAACUGAGACACGGUCCAGACACCUACGGGAGGCAGCAGUCGAGAAUUUUUCACAAUGGGGGAAACCCUGAUGGAGCGACGCCGCGUGGGGGAUGAAUGGCUUCGGCCCGUAAACCCCUGUCAUUCGCGAACAAUGCCUGCGGUAUAACACAUCGCAGGUUGAUAGUAGCGGAAGAGGAAGGGACGGCUAACUCUGUGCCAGCAGCCGCGGUAAU
rnacentral:rRNA from 1 species